GACGAACGCUGGCGGCGUGCUUAACACAUGCAAGUCGAACGGAAAGGCCCUGCUUUUGUUGGGUGCUCGAGUGGCGAACGGGUGUGUAACACGUGAGUAACCUGCCCUUGACUUUGUGAUAACUUCAGGAAACUGGGGCUAAUACCGGCUAGGAGCUCCUGCUGCAUGGUGGGGGUUGGAAAGUUUCGGCGGUUGGGGAUGGACUCGCGGCUUAUCAGCUUGUUGGUGGGGUAGUGGCUUACCAAGGCUUUGACGGGUAGCCGGCCUGAGAGGGGGACCGGCCACAUUGGGACUGAGAUACGGCCCAGACUCCUACGGGAGGCAGCAGUGGGGAAUAUUGCACAAUGGGCGGAAGCCUGAGGCAGCAACGCCGCGUGCGGGAUGAAGGCCUUCGGGUUGUAAACCGCUUUCGCCUGUGACGAAGCGUGAGUGACGGUAAUGGGUAAAGAAGCACCGGCUAACUACGUG
rnacentral:rRNA from 1 species